rnacentral:tRNA from 1 species
GCAGAGGUAGCUCAGCCUGGUAGAGCACCACCUUGACGCGGUGGGGGUCGCCGGUUCGAAUCCGGUACUCUGUA